CGCGUAGGCGGGAAUGCAAGUCAGAUGUGAAAUCUAGGGGCUUAACCCCUAAACUGCAUUUGAAACUGUAUUUCUUGAGUGUCGGAGAGGUAAGUGGAAUUCCUAGUGUAGCGAUGGAAUGCGUAGAUAUUAGGAGGAACAUCAGUGGCGAAGGCGACUUACUGGACGGUAACUGACGUUGAGGCUCGAAAGCGUGGGAGCAAACA
rnacentral:rRNA from 1 species